GUGCUGGCUUAAGCAGCACAUAUUUUAAAAUUGGAAAUGAUAGAAGAUUAGCAUGGACCUUGUGCAAAGAUGAAAGGUGCAAAUUCGUGAAGUGUUCCAUAUUUUU
rnacentral:snRNA from 1 species